rnacentral:lncRNA from 1 species
AAUGUUAAUAAGAAUGCAGAAAGAUGCAUAGGAGCAAACUCAAGUGACAGAAAUAAAGACACCUUGAGAAAUCAACUCAAUCCAAACAAGAGCAACAAAAUUGAACAUCUGGUUCUGAGUAUGUGUGGUUUGUACCUUCCUUACUGCCCACUGUUUCACUGUGGAUAGAUAUCACUGGGGGUGCUUCUUCCAGCCUGUCUGUUUUGGGGUCUGAUUCAAAACCAGCUUGGUUUGUAUCAGGCCCCUGAUGAAUCUCAGGAAUAUUGAAGCUGGCUGGCUUGACCAUUUAAGUCCCAAACUGAGUCCAGUGCUGUCAAUCAAGAAGGCCAAAGAAUGGAUGCUUCUUAUGAAUUUCAGUUCUAGAGUCUGAUGAGGACAUUGAGUCAAAAGAACAAAUUGCCAGGACUCAGAACCUUCUCUUUCUUAUAUAGCAACAUGGUGUGUGACAAGGAAAUAAGAUGUAUGUCUACAGCAACCCUCUCAGUUCAUUUCCCAAGAAUGGCCUGUAGAAUAAAAAUGAGACCCCGUAAGGCUUGCAGAAUAUUAACAGAGAUUUAGCCCGUGAGGAGCCAAGAAGAUUGAUACAGUUGUAGAACCUCAACUUAUGAUAGAAAAGUGUUUCACCUUCUACAGCAGUCGUAUUCAUCCUGAAGCUUAUUUGUCAGAAUAUGGAUUUUGGUAUUUAAAAUGGAAAAAAAAUUGAAAGAAUGGUAGAGAAAAAAACAAAUUAAUUACCUGUGCAAAAACCCAUGCACUGGAAUAAAAAAAUUAUUCAUGUCUUUCUCA